UCCAGCAGUUGUCAGCUGUCCAGGCUAGUGUGAUGCCUCGGAUGGUGUUACACUGUUGGAAGAGCAAGUGCUGCCUUUAUUGAGGUCUGGCUCUAGUACUGU
rnacentral:snoRNA from 1 species